rnacentral:rRNA from 1 species
CCUACGGGAGGCAGCAGUGAGGAAUAUUGGUCAAUGGACGAGAGUCUGAACCAGCCAAGUAGCGUGAAGGAUGACUGCCCUAUGGGUUGUAAACUUCUUUUAUAUGGGAAUAAAACGUUCCACGUGUGGGAUUUUGUAUGUACCAUAUGAAUAAGGAUCGGCUAACUCCGUGCCAGCAGCCGCGGUAAUACGGAGGAUCCGAGCGUUAUCCGGAUUUAUUGGGUUUAAAGGGAGCGUAGGUGGAUUGUUAAAUCAGUUGUGAAAGUUUGCGGCUCAACCGUAAAAUUGCAGUUGAAACUGGCAGUCUUGAGUACAGUAGAGGUGGGCGGAAUUCGUGGUGUAGCGGUGAAAUGCUUAGAUAUCACGAAGAACUCCGAUUGCGAAGGCAGUUCACUGGACUGCAACUGACACUGAGGCUCGAAAGUGUGGGUAUCAAACAGGAUUAGAUACCCUUGUAGUC